rnacentral:rRNA from 1 species
UACGGAGGGUGCAAGCGUUGUCCGGAUUUAUUGGGUUUAAAGGGUGCGUAGGCGGCCCUGUAAGUCAGUGCUGAAAUAUCCCGGCUUAACCGGGAGGGUGGCAUUGAUACUGCGGGGCUAGAGUACAGAUGAGGUAGGCGGAAUUGACGGUGUAGCGGUGAAAUGCUUAGAUAUCGUCAAGAACACCUAUAGCGAAGGCAGCUUACUAGGCUGUAACUGACGCUGAGGCACGAAAGUGUGGGGAUCAAACAGG